CGGCGUGCCUAAUACAUGCAAGUCGAACGCACUCUCGUUUAGAUUGAAGGAGCUUGCUCCUGAUUGAUAACAUUUGAGUGAGUGGCGGACGGGUGAGUAACACGUGGGUAACCUGCCCUAAAGUGGGGGAUAACAUUUGGAAACAGGUGCUAAUACCGCAUAAAACCUAACACCGCAUGGUGUAGGGUUGAAAGAUGGUUUCGGCUAUCACUUUAGGAUGGACCCGCGGUGCAUUAGUUAGUUGGUGAGGUAAAGGCUCACCAAGACCGUGAUGCAUAGCCGACCUGAGAGGGUAAUCGGCCACACUGGGACUGAGACACGGCCCAGACUCCUACGGGAGGCAGCAGUAGGGAAUCUUCCACAAUGGACGAAAGUCUGAUGGAGCAACGCCGCGUGAGUGAAGAAGGUUUUCGGAUCGUAAAACUCUGUUGUUGGAGAAGAAUGUAUCUGAUAGUAACUGAUCAGGUAGUGACGGUAUCCAACCAGAAAGCCACGGCUAACUACGUG
rnacentral:rRNA from 1 species